CCACCCGCCAGCCCAGCGGCCAGGCCCCAGCCGGAGCGGCUUUUUCGGACCCGCGGAGCCGGGUUCGGCCCCCUCCGGCUGGCGGGCGGAAUGGAGUCUGCGAUGUGAAACCCCGGGCUGCCCCGAGGCCGGCGGGGGCGGAGGUGGAGGAAAGAGGCUUGUUAAUUAAGGCUGCGGAGAGCCGCAGGGCCUUGGAGGCUCGGCGGCGCAGACUGCUGGAAGGCGGAGAGGAGGCUGGCGCGAAGCGAGUCUUUCCCCGGCCCUGGCCGGGCAGCCCGGCCCGCCUCCGCGCUCCCCCGCUAGGCUCUCGAAGUUCGGGCGGCCAGGCCUACGGCUGCCGCCUCUUCCUCUGGGGCGCGCGCUGUGUAAACUCGGCCUCCUUUUCUCAGUGCAGAGCUUCGGCCUCGCACCUGCUAGCUCAACGCCCAGGGCCGCGGUGGGCAGAGGUGGCCGCGGGGGUGGAGGGAGAGACCUGACUGACAGCAAAACCAGUGCUCAGGAAAAGCAAAAGUCUUUUAUAGACUGAUUUUUACGAAAACUAAAGGCAUGGUAUAGGAUGCACCCAGUGGUCAAAAUGAAACCAAGCAAAAAAUGACAGGUGGUCUAAUUAUUACCGACUUCUAGCAAGCAUGUCCUCAAGCAACAUCUGUACCCAGCUCCUUGAAGUACACUGGGAGUAUUAGCAACGAAACACACCAACAACAUUGGGAUAAUCAUCUAGCAUCAGAUUGCCUGGUAGGUAGAGAGAGAGUUGAAACUGCAAAGAAUCCUGCAGUGUUUCCUUUAACUGAAUUGUUGAGAGGAAAAUAACCAGAGCUCUUUUCUUAGGUAACCAAACUUGAAAUGUGAAUCAAACAUGAACUACAACAGAAGAAAUUAACUCCUCUCGUUUCUUACAUAUAUUUAGACAUUUCAAAUAGAACAUUUAGGAUUCUAUAUAUACCAGUAAAUACCAUAAAUAAUAUAAUUUACUUUUGAUUAUUCUGGGAAAUUAGUAUGUAAUCUUUCAGUACAGCUGGAGGGUGUGAUGAUAUAGUAGCACUGUUGGCUGUUAAGAGAGAACUGGCAUUAGUCCAACUUAUGAGAGUUGCUUUCUAGCAUUUAUUAUGGUUUCUUGCUAAGAGAAGACAUUGUAAUAAGGAAGAAUAUUGUACUCAUGUAAAGUAUAGGUAUACAUGUGUUAUCAUUUUCAUGAAAUAAAAUUCUUUUUGCUGAAUAACGAUAAAUAAAACUUAUGGUAAUUUAAGAUGCAUACAGAGCUGGAUUAAUAGUUUUGGAGCUCUUAAGCAUUGAAAAGAUUUUGAUGUCCCAGCAACUCACCUCAUAUGUAAAUAAAAAUAAUACAAAACCAAAAAAUAAGUGUAAAGGAGUCCAACAAAGUUCUGAUUUUUCCCAUGUUGACUACUUCAAUGCUUUUGCUGAAAUAUUAAAUUCUUUAAGAA